rnacentral:lncRNA from 1 species
GGCCAGCAGGAUAGGAUCUCACGUUUCUGUUGGGAUGUAGAGUUCACAUACUUAUGAUGUCACUAAACAUUUCUGCCAAUGAGGAGAUAGGAAGGGACCACAAGGUUCUACUCUUGAAGAGAAGGCUAGGAUGGGCCUCAGUGUUAAAAAGUACUAUAGAAAACAAAAUGUAAUCAAAAGAUGAAAACUGAAACAGAAAUAUUAAAAGAAGAAAUAAGAGAAAAGUCAGCACCCUUUUGUGCGAAAUGUGGGAUAGUUAAACCAUACCGAGUUCUUAUCCUCAUCUGCAGUUUCACUGGUUCUGCCCUUCUCUGGUGGGCCUUCAACCUCUCAACCUGGGUGAAGAUAGAAAACUCAAACCAAUCCUUCUUCAGUGCUCUCUUUGCAAUAUGCAGUGAUGAGAUCAAAUGUUGGGUCCCACCAUCAAAAUCAAGAGGUGGACCCUAUCUCAGCUGCAGAGGCAGAGUUAUGAAUGAUCUAACUGAUCACAGUGGUCACAUUCUUGGCAGUACUUGGAUUAGCCUGUUACAUGGAAAUCUCUCCGUUUUGAGAACGCUUGCCUCUUGA